rnacentral:sRNA from 1 species
GUUACAAAUAUUUAACCCCAUCCACAGGCUCACAGGUUAACCCUUGACCCCAAGCUGGCGGUGCUGCUUUGGGAGGUGGUGGAAGCUGUAGGAGGCAGGGCCUCAGUUGAGGAAGUGGGUCAGCAUGGCUCUGCAUUCUCAAGACACAACAAUCCAGAGGCAGUGACAUGAAUGCUUGCUCCGUGGACAGGUGGAAAAAUGACUGGGGAUAAAGGAUGGAUGAGAGCUUAUCUAGAGAUAAGAAACCAUGCUUACAGAGAACAACUCUGGGGCUGAGAGAUGGAAUAUAACAACCAGAGUGCUGUGAGACAAAGUGGAGUAGGUUAAAGUGGCACAGAGAUCUCUUUGGAUUUUGCUGUUUUCCGGAAGGGCCAGUGUGAUUGACUUACUCUGGUUGUCAACUCGACGCACCCGAGAAGGAGGAAUCUCAGCCGAGGAAUUGCUUCCAACAGAUUGGCUUGUGGGCAUGUUUGUGAAGCAGGACCUGCUGUCUCACAGCAGCGCCACACAGAACCCCACCUGCUGUGGAAUGCACACGAGCCAUUUUAGAGCAUGGGGGAAAUGUGGUAAAAUCCUUUAAAAUCUUCCUGACGAGUAAAUUCCUGGAAAGCAAUUAAUGUGGAAGGCUUUCAGGGACCAGAGGGAGUGGCAGAUAGCUUGAAUCCUGUUUCCUGAGUGGUCAGCCACGGACAUCACUCCAAACCAGGUAGCAAAGAGUGUGCUUUUUACAUCUCUGUUCUAGGAAGAACAUUUGCACAACUUCUAGCAACAUUCUUGGGUCAGUGGCCAUGACCCUGAGGCAAUGCUUAGCGCUACAGUGAUCGUUUGACUCCACACGGUACUACAAAAAGUGAAGCAGUGAAAGCCCUGGGCCACACCAACAAGCACGUGACAAGAGAGACGCUUGCUCAUACGACAGAGGCCUGCAUCCCUUAGGCAGAGUACUGACCAUGAUUGGAUGCGAAUGGAAGAAUGUCAACUAAGGAUUGUGUCUAUAUAGAAAAUCAUUAGCCAAACACCACAGGGCUAAUUAAUGUCAUUUGAAAUACUUUCUGUGUAUGUUGAAUAGAGUGCCGCCAUUAUCAUCUGGCCAAACGAAAUGCCUGCCCAUAAACAACAUGGAGCUAUUUAACAGGAUAGCUAAUUACAUCUCGUCUCACAGCCCCAACUGAUCCUAAGCAACAACUCCCUAAGCUGUGUUGUAGUGCAAGGUAGCCUAAGGCUCUGGGGCAGUUACUGAAUCAUGAGAUUUUACUGUUAGAACUUGUUCGGUGUGUUUAAAAACCACCAAAAUAUUGAAUGGAGUAAAGUUACUAGGGAGACCGCAGCUUGGAAAGAGGCAGAGGAGAUCAAGAUAGAGAGGGACACUUCAAAAGCCACGCUCGGGCUCACAGGCACCUGGCACGAAGCUAAGAAUGCUGGGGGAAUGGGAGGGAAAGUACCAAGCCCUGUGCUUUGCUCCAGGUCACCUGGUUCUAUGCGGCACCCUUGUGGGUGGCCUGUGGCAUCUAUGGCUGGAGGCAGCUGCAUGUGUUUCCAUGGUCUUCAGGUGGCAGGUUCUCUUUUUACCAAGCACUUUGUAUAAACUGUUCCCUUCAGCCUUCCUUCUUCACAUACAUUCUAUAGGAGGUUUAUUUUGGGCCCAAGGCGUGCUUCUCUCUGCAUUUGAUCUCAAAGCAAGCUCGUUGAAAAGAGGACCAGAGACCUAGACAAACCUUAUGGACUUGUGUCAUCCUUCUAUGUAUGCAAGAGACACAUUCCAGGUCCCCCCAUAGGCACCCAAGUUCUCACAUGCUCCGCUGUGGCAUUGCCAUAGAUCUGUACACAUCCCAGUGUGUGUAUUUUGAAUUGUCUCUAGACAAGUUUUGAUGAUAUUGCUGUGUCCAUGCCAGGGAGACAUUUGUUAAUGCUGCAUUGUGUUGGGGAUAAAGACAAGGGGAAAGCCACUCAUGCUCUGUGCAGAGGCAUUUUCAGUAAUCCCCCACCAUGGGGGAGGGAGGUCAGUUAAACCCUAGUGUCCAGGUUGGCUUUUUACUGCUGUGAUAAACACCAUGACCAAAAGCAAAUUGGGGAGAAAAGACUUCAUCUUAUGGCUUAUCGUGCAUCAUCCAGCAAGGCCAGGGCAGGAACUUGAGACAGGGACCUGGAAGGACGUACGAACUAAAGCAGAGACCAUAGAGGAAUGCUACUUACUCUCUUGCCUCCACUGCUUGUUCAUACAGCUCAGGACCACCUCCCACAACGAACUCCAUCCCCCAACCCACGUCCACCUUUAAUCAAGAGUCUUUCCUACAAACCAAUCUAAUGGAGGUAGUUUCUCAGCUGAGUGCUACUCCUCUACUAGUUUGUGUCAGGUUGACAAAUACUAACUAGCACCCUGGAUACAGCAGAUGUCAUGGAUACAAAGGGCUGGCUGCAGUGAUGGGACACUGGCCACCUUACUACCUUACUUCCUACCUACGAUGUGUCAAAGUCCAUCUCACUUUAAACCUAAAGGAGAAAAUAAUUUUGAAUAUUUUUCUUGAUUUUUUUCCCCAAAUGGGAUAUGGGAAAAAAGUACAACAUUACUGGGUCAUUAUUGUUCGUUUUCAGAACAAUGACAGAAUCUGAAAUCAUAUGGGAAAUGGACUCUGGGUUGGAACCCAGAACCUUGUCCCUCCCACUUAGGCAUGUGCUCUUACACUGAGCUACACCCUUGGCCUCAUACCUUCAUUUCUAAAAAUAAUGCCAAUGUGUAAUUGUGAGGAUUAAAGUAACAUGGAGACAAAUGAGUACACACUUCAUGUGCAUCAAAGCGGAGUCAUGCUAGGAAUUGCCUGGAGUGGACAUCUGUCUUAGGAGUUGCCAGGGAUGCUCAUAAUGACUCACAAAGUCUUCAGUGUGCUCCUUGACAUACAGUUUGUGUCACUGGUAUGGUCUUGGCCAGCUGCUCUCCAAUGUUUCCUCUAACUGGCUGCUCUCUGGACAUACCAUGAACCCCUCUGAGAACAAGCUUUUGCAGUGUAUCAGGGCCAACACCACUUGGCUUUUGAGAUGCUAUCUAUGUUUUCCAGCUACAGUGGUUUGUGACAUGCCUGGGCCUGUCCCAGUCUAUCCUAUGGAGACUGUUUACCUGCCUUUUUAAUGCUACAUACAUAUUCAGGUAAGCAGCCUGACGAUGAAUGAUGGCUGUAAGAAGCCAUUUCCAACAGUAGGUUGGGGUCUUGGUGGAUCUCAUGAUGCUCUUCUGUGGGGCUUCUGUAGACUUCAAGGACCAGUAAGCAGUUUUCACCCACAUGGGGGUAUGAGAUGUGAGAGGUGUUUUCUUGCUUUGUUCUCUUACAACUUUUCAAAUUAUAUGAAUGUAAUAAAAAGCAUACAUUAUUAAAAAUUUUAACUAGGUAUUUCACAUAUGGAGCUGUGAAGAAUUUCUUUUGGUGCCAAAAUGUCAUAAGGAAAAAAAGUAUGAGCUUUGUGAUUUGUGGACCUGCUAUGUAGGCAAUCUUUUUCAAAGUUGUAUUUUUCAAGAGGUGUUGGAACAUUUUUCUCCAUAAGGAUCACAGGUGGGAAACUCUUCAUAUACUGCUUCUACAAGUUGGAAAUUUUCCUUGUUUGAGGAUAAUGCAGAAAACAUUCAGUCCUCCAUGUUUGGUUGCUUUAUUUCUUCCUUUAGCCACAUUGCAGAGAACUUUCUAGAAAAGAAUUAAGAAUAUGCACCAAGAAACUCAUCACCACAACUGAGCACACAAUGGUGAGCAAGGUUAUCUCUAAAAUUGUACUCUAUACAUUUUUAAUACUCAAAAAGAAACAUCAAUGUGUCUCAUUUUCUAAUUUGUUAGAGAACAUGUCUGGUAACUGAUUAAACAAGCUAUAAAACACGGGGACCAAAGAGCCUCCAAGAACUUGAAAGACAUAUUACUUGGAUAAGCAAGUAACUCAUGAAAGUGAUGCUAUAGGAAAGAAUUUCUGUACAUCCUCCAUGGCUUGGUCCAAGUGAUGAGCCCUUUUCCAGUCCUUCUCAACAGACUUUAUGACCUACGUCGCCUAUUCCUCUCCUUAAUUCAUUAAACUGCAUUAAUUCAAACUAAUUAUCAUUUAAGCCUUUGACUCUAAAUUUCCUGGAUGAAAAUUUUGGAAUCUCUGAGUCAGAUGAACGUAUUACAUAAGUGCGCCCCAAGGAUUCACAAGCAGAAAACACAUCUUAGCGCUCAGUAAUGCCAGGGGACAUUCUUUUAGGGCAUCAUUCCUCCCUGAUUAUCAUUUUAUCUUCGCUCUUCAGUUGCAAGUCUUUCAUGAAGAAUUUGGGCAACGUUUUAAUUUAAAAAAAUUCCACCAUGCUACUUACAAACAUCAUUUUAAAAAACCUUUUAUUCAAUGGUAUACACAUUCAAGUAACAUUUGAAAUUUUUAAAAUAUAUGCUCAGAAGCAUGUGAACCUGCUGCUCUUGGUUAUUUACCUCACACACCCGGCUCAUGGUCACGUGCCCUUCAGGAGCCUAUUCCUGGAACCCCAUUUGGCAGUUUACCCAACAGAGCAAAAUUAAAAUUUAGAUCCUAGCCCCAAAAUGUUAUGUAACCAAAGCUUUGGUUUUUUGUGACCUUGAAGCGCUAGGUCAAGCCAAACAGCUUGAAUGUAAUUGUGUUUAACUGGAAACUCUGUGUCUGUACAUUUUUAAUGUCCCCAGAUUGCCACAUGAGACUCAGUCUUUAAAUGGGAUCCUUCUGAAGAGCAGAUUUCUUUGGGAGACAGGAUGAGGUAAAUAUGUAGAGACUAAUAUGACACAUGACUGUUUUGCAGGAUGACGCAACCAUGCAGUUGUUUUGUGAUUACCAAGCUCAUGAAGAAUGAACAAUAGACAUUGGAUGCAUUGGUUCAUGCUGUAGCCGCUGUAAUCAGGAAGCUGUGGGAGGAAGAACCCAAGUAGGAAGCCAAUCUGGAUACAUAGGGAUAGCCUGUCUAAGAAAACUAAAAAACUGUAUUCUGAAUACAACCCAAUGGCUUAAAGUAUCACUUAUAAGGAAACUGUAAACUUGCAAAACACUUAGAUUAUUUUUCUAAGGUUCCAAAGUAAGUGUAAUCGGUAAAGUUAAAAACUGUGGAGACAAUUAAGAGCAUGUAUGAGUCAGAUACUGGAAGCCUAGAAAGGAUCAAAAUUUAGAUCAAACAUGGGUUCUACUAAGGAUAUGCCCCCUAGCACUGUUUGGUCAAAGACCCACUAAUAUAUCCACCAAUAAUAAAGAGAACCUGUUCAAGUGUGUGUGUGCUGGAAUGACGCUCUUUGCUUUUCCAUUUUUUCCUGUCCAUUUGCCAGUACCAUUCCUUCUUAGUAUUUGUCGUGGUGGAAUGAUGUUCUGAGGACGUCUGAGGUUGGUACUAUGAGAGUUAUUUGUAAUGCUCAACUUGACACAGUGAAGGGAGGGUCAAUGUGGAAACUUCUGGGCUAGGAUGGCCUAUCAGGGGUGUUUGUGGGCAACUGUCAUGGUUACCUGCACAUGUGGGAAGAUCCGUGUGCAGCAUCUAUCUGUGACUUUGGAUCCUGAACUGUUGAGUGAUCAGAAAGUAGCUCAUUGAUUUCUGCUCCCAUUACUGCGUCUUCUCAGCUAUGUUGAACUGUGACCAGGAAUUGUGAGCCAAAAUAAAAAUUGCUUUUUAGGGUUCUUUAUCACAGCAACAAGAAAUAAAACUAAUCUAGAAACUGAACUUUAAGAAUUUAUUUAAACUCCACCUAGCCCAGAAGUUUCCACAUGGAUCCCAGCAGCCAGGAAAUGGAAGGAAAAAAUAUUCAUUCAUGGGGAGACAAUUAUACUUUCUUGAGCCACUGUACUUUCCGGAGUUAUGUCAUUUUACUGAAAUGGAGCCUUAUAAAUGGCAUAGCCCUGGUGUUUAAAAAUAAUGUAAUAUUCUUUGCAGCAUUCUUACAGAAUGAAUGAAGCACAGAUCCUGCUCAUUCUUCCUGUGUCCACUAUCCACACCAAAAGAAGAUCUACCCAAGUCGAAACCAUCACUCCAUCUGUUACUAUCACUCUUUGGAGUUCAGGACCCCAUCUGCUCCCAAGAGAGCAUGGUUGAAGGUCAGGGGUGGAGUCAGGAACAUUGGUUAGCAUGUUCAGCCCGAGUAGCUGCUGAGUCAGCAUCCAUUACAUCAUUUCUGCUCAUUCCCCAGGCCCUUCUCCAGGUCAUGCUGGACUCCUCCCUGCCAUGUGUCCUGCUCUUGGUGUCACCCUGUUCUUUGGCCCCAGUCUCCUCCUGCCGUCCUCAGAUGGAGGCAGACUCCAUGGAUGCCUGUCUUCUGUAUCUGGUAAACAGACACAGGAAAAUUGCUAGUUCAAAGUCAGCUAGAGCCACAAGGUCCCACUUCACAUUCUGAGUAACUGUCCCAGCUUCUGGAGAGCAAACAGAACAUGCUAAGGACCGUGACAUGGGAAGGUCAGUAGAGACAUCUAUUCUCCCAGUGAUGCUCAUACGGAAACAAUGUGUGACUGAAGUCAAAUGGAAAUACAAAAGCGUAUUUAUUCCUGGUCUAUGCAGUUCCUUGGACACCUGAUACCUCUCUCCUGCUAACAAGAGUUUCAACAAUGUUCACACACACAGAUGCCCCCAACUGGAGACAUAUCUAUAAAAAAAAUCUAUGAUGAAUUUUACUUGGAGCUAUAACAGCAAAAGUUCAAACAAUAUGCAUUCUUGAAAAACAGAAGAGUAAAAAAUAAAAGAUUACUGUAAUAUCCCAAA